rnacentral:ncRNA from 1 species
AAGGUCUUGGUCUCAAACCUCACAUUAUCUAAAACCAUUUGUUUAUACAUGCAAGCCUCACCACAACGGUGAAACAGCCAUAAUAACUAUAGAGCCGGCAUCAGUCACCCACCAAGACGCCAAGCAACAGUCACACCCUCACGGGUAACACAGCAGUAAUUAACAUUAGGCAAUAAGUGAAAACUUGACCAAGCAAAAUGGACACAGGGCCGGUUAAUCUCGUGCCAGCGACCGCGGUUAUACGAUAGGCUCAAGAUAAUAUCAGCGGCGUAAAAAUGACUAAAUUAAUCAGUCUAACUUUUAGGGCAGAAACCCAGCAGGGCUGUAAAAAGCCAUAAACCACAAUAAUCACCACCCCUAAAACCACACAAAUUUGACUCAUGAAAGCCAGGAUACAAACUAAGAUUAGAUACCUUACUAUGCCUAGCCGUAACACACUAUAAACGUUCGCCAACAACUACGAGUGAUAACUUAAAACUUAAAAGACUUGACGGUACUUCAUCCAGCCUAGAGGAGCCUGUCUAAUAACCGACAACCCACGAUUAACCCGACCCUUUCUUGCCAACAGUCUAUAUACCGCCGUCGUCAGCCUACCUUGUAAAAGCAAUAAAGUAGGCUCAAUAGCACCACACUAAAACGACAGGUCGAGGUGUAACCCAUGAAAAGGACUAAGAUGGACUACAUUCUCAAGCCGAGAACACGGAUAAUACUAUGAAAAUAGCAUUUGAAGGCGGAUUUAGUAGUAAGAUAAGAAUAAAAUACCUAACUGAACAUAACGCAAUGAAGUGCGUACACACCGCCCGUCAUCCCUGCCACCACAACAUAAACAUAAAUAAACACCAAACGGAAACUAAACAGGGCAAGUCGUAACAUGGUAAGUGUACUGGAAAGUGUACUUAGAAA